rnacentral:rRNA from 1 species
GAUGAACGCUGGCGGCGUGCCUAAUACAUGCAAGUCGAGCGAACAGACGAGGAGCUUGCUCCUCUGACGUUAGCGGCGGACGGGUGAGUAACACGUGGAUAACCUACCUAUAAGACUGGGAUAACUUCGGGAAACCGGAGCUAAUACCGGAUAAUAUAUUGAACCGCAUGGUUCAAUAGUGAAAGACGGUUUUGCUGUCACUUAUAGAUGGAUCCGCGCCGCAUUAGCUAGUUGGUAAGGUAACGGCUUACCAAGGCAACGAUGCGUAGCCGACCUGAGAGGGUGAUCGGCCACACUGGAACUGAGACACGGUCCAGACUCCUACGGGAGGCAGCAAUAGGGAAUCUUCCGCAAUGGGCGAAAGCCUGACGGAGCAACGCCGCGUGAGUGAUGAAGGUCUUCGGAUCGUAAAACUCUGUUAUUAGGGAAGAACAAAUGUGUAAGUAACUAUACACGUCUUGACGGUACCUAAUCAGAAAGCCACGGCUAACUACGUG